UGGCGUAGUGGUUAAAGCACUUGGCUGCUAAACAAAAGGUCGAUGGUUCGAACCCAUC
rfam:Loxodonta africana unplaced genomic scaffold scaffold_10, whole genome shotgun sequence.